rnacentral:miRNA from 2 species
CAGUACUUAUGUCAUACUACGC